AUUGAACGCUGGCGGCAUGCCUUACACAUGCAAGUCGAACGGCAGCACGGACUUCGGUCUGGUGGCGAGUGGCGAACGGGUGAGUAAUGUAUCGGAACGUACCUUUCAGUGGGGGAUAACGUAGCGAAAGUUACGCUAAUACCGCAUAUUCUGUGAGCAGGAAAGCAGGGGAUCGAAAGACCUUGCGCUGAUUGAGCGGCCGAUAUCAGAUUAGCUAGUUGGUGGGGUAAAGGCCUACCAAGGCGACGAUCUGUAGCGGGUCUGAGAGGAUGAUCCGCCACACUGGAACUGAGACACGGUCCAGACUCCUACGGGAGGCAGCAGUGGGGAAUUUUGGACAAUGGGGGCAACCCUGAUCCAGCCAUGCCGCGUGAGUGAAGAAGGCCUUCGGGUUGUAAAGCUGUUUCGGCCGGGAAGAAAUCGCAUAGGCUAAUACCCUGUGUGGAUGACGGUACCGGAAUAAGAAGCACCGGCUAACUACGUG
rnacentral:rRNA from 1 species